rnacentral:lncRNA from 1 species
UGUCAGGGAGGCUGUGGAGCCCAGAACUCUGCAGUACCAGAAAGAACCUCUCUCAAGAGAACACUGAGGGUUGUUAUUAUUUAACAGAUGGAUGGGGAGAGCUGUUCAUGGAAAAGACUAAGGAUGACCACAGAGGUUUCAAAAUAGAUCCUAAGUGAGGCUGUCAGAGUGGUCAAGGGGAGAUGGAAUGUGAAGGAGAAGCAAUCCCAAGAAGCAAAGGAACACAAGUUCACUGACCAAUAAUUGAUGAUGCCGUGUUGAAGUGUCUCCACCUGGCAGGAAGAGCACAUAAUUUAAGAACUCGAUGCUACCUUGUGGUCCAGGAGGACUUCUCAAUCCCCAGCUAUCACCUUGUAUUCCGACAGCAUGAAGAUGAAAAAAAAAAGCACAAAGUUCAUCUUCCUGCUAUAUCAAGAUUCUUUCUCGGGUUGGUUUGCUUCUGCCUUCUACUUGUUUCAUUGCUGAUAAUAUAUUAAGGAGAGAUUCUGCCAAAAUCUAUGGGAAAGCUGCAGCGAAGUCAUCAGAAUACAGCAAUGGUGGCAUUGACCUGUAUUUUUAAACUUGGUUUCCAACUUUGGCAAACACAAGGGACCAGAAGGGGGAGGGAGUUUAACUGAGUAAAAACUCAAAACCUGCUUAAAGUAUAACAUUAAAUAGGAGUACUUCCCCUAUCAACAUGGGUUUGCAGAGGGCCAGGGAUUUAGCUCAGUGGUUCCGCCACCUGCCUGGAAAACUCAAGGUCCUGAGUUAGAUCCCUGGUACCAAAGACAAAACAUGGGUUUACAUAUUUAGAUAGGCAUAAGAGAUAUAAACAAGCCAUUUUUACAAACUCUAUACUUCUUUAAAUAAUGUGGCUUUAUAAUAAAUUUUUAUGUUUUACAAAGCUAAACACUUUUUAUAUUGCUGCUGUUGUUACCCAUAUUCCUUUUCAUAUUUUGGUAUACAUACCCUUGAUUGUUUUCCUUCUCUAUUUUAAAUACAUUCUUGAGUCAACCUGUAAAGUUCUGUGAAGAAUUUUGAUUGAAAAUGUAUUGAAUUGAUCUGGGGAAUGUGACAUCAUUACAAUAUUGAAUCUUCUGGCUAGAUAUGUAAAUGGGCUCUCUAUAUGGAUCUAGCAAAUUUGCUAACUCAUCUAAAUCUAAUGAUUUUUUUGUCCUUUUUGGGGAUAUUGUAUGAAAGAUAGUACUGUCACUCUUUUCAAGUAGGACACUGGUUUUUG